UGGUUUCUCAAGAAAAGAAUUUCAGUUCCGCCUAAAGCAAUUUAAAUCCCAAUAAAUUAUCCUAAGCCUUUAGAGUAAGUCAAAUAAGGUACAGCCUAUUCGACACAGAACUCAGCCUUUAACAACGGGUAAUACAAUUUCACCUUAUUAAGUGGGCCUAAUAGCAGCCACCUUUUAAAAAGCGUUAAAGCUUAAAAUUCACCCUAAUUCUUAAGCCAUUAUUGACCCCUUCAGCCCUAUUGAGAACUCCUAUAACCAUAUAGGACCUUUUAUGCUAAAACUAGUAACAAGAGGUUGUCCCUCUCUACAAUGUAAACCCAAGCCAGCUUGAACCCCUCACUGGCACCUAACAGACCUAAACUAAAGUAAUAACUCAUCUAGAAAACACUACUUUACCAUGCUGUUAACCUAACACAAGAACAUUUCAAGAAAGAUUAAAAGGAAGAGAAGGAACUCGGCAAACAUUAAACCCGCCUGUUUACCAAAAACAUCGCCUCUUGUCUCCCUUAUAAGAGGUCCAGCCUGCCCAGUGACUUGUUCAACGGCCGCGGUAUCCUAACCGUGCGAAGGUAGCGUAAUCACUUGUCUUCUAAAUAGAGACUAGUAUGAAAGGCAUCACGAGGAUUAAACUGUCUCCUCUCCCUAAUCAGUGAACCUAAUCUCCCCGUGAAGAAGCGGGGGUAACCUUAUAAGACGAGAAGACCCUAUGGAGCUUAAAACAAUAUGACAUGUGCUACACCACUUAUACGCCACAAGGCCUUAACCUCCACACGCACACUGAUUAUACGUUUUCGGUUGGGGUGACCGCGGAGAACAAAAUAUCCUCCACGAUGAUAAGGACAUUUCCCCUAAAUAAUAAGCCACAGCUUUUCAAAUCAAUAAAUUGACAUUCUUUGACCCAAUAUUUUGAUCAACGAACCAAGUUACCCUAGGGAUAACAGCGCAAUCCACUUUAAGAGCCCUUAUCGACAAGUGGGCUUACGACCUCGAUGUUGGAUCAGGGUAUCCCAGUGGUGCAGCCGCUACUAAAGGUUCGUUUGUUCAACGAUUAAAACCCUACGUGAUCUGAGUUCAGACCGGAGUAAUCCAGGUCAGUUUCUAUCUAUAAUAGAGCUAUUCUUAGUACGAAAGGACCAGAAUAACAUAGCCUAUACUCAUGCAAGCUAUAGUUGAAUAUUUUAGACCCCCACUCAAAAAAUAACCAACCUUGCCCCCCCCCCAAAAGAAGGGCAGUUAAAGAAGCAUACCCCGGUUUUGCAAAAGACCUAAACCCUUUUUCCUGGAGGUUCAAAUCCUCUCACUA
rnacentral:rRNA from 1 species